CGUAGGUGGUUUCUUAAGUCAGGAGUGAAAGGCUACGGCUUAACCGUAGUAAGCUCUUGAAACUGGGAAACUUGAGUGCAGGAGAGGAAAGUGGAAUUCCUAGUGUAGCGGUGAAAUGCGUAGAUAUUAGGAGGAACACCAGUAGCGAAGGCGGCUUUCUGGACUGUAACUGACACUGAGGCACGAAAGCGUGGGGAGCAAACAA
rnacentral:rRNA from 1 species